rnacentral:rRNA from 1 species
GACGAACGCUGGCGGCGUGCUUAACACAUGCAAGUCGAGCGGAGCGGCGAACGGGUGAGUAACGCGUGCGUCACUGCCCCCCUCUCUGGGAUACCCGUUUGAAACGGCUGCUAAUACCGGAUCGUGGGGGAUGACUCGCGUCCUAUCAGCUUGUGGUUGGGGUAGUGGCAUACCAAGGCGACGACGGGUAGCCGGCCUGCGAGGGCGACCGGCCACAUUGGGAUGAGAUACGGCACAAACUACUACGGGAGGGAGCAGUGGGGAAGAUUGCACAAUGGGGGAAACCCUGAUGCAGCAACGCGCGGGCGGGAUGACGGCCGUCGGGUUGUAAACCGCUUUCAGCCAUGACGCGGUAGUGGCAGAAGAAGCACCGGAUAACUACGUGCCAGCAGCCGCGGUAAUAC